GCCCGCCCCCUUCUGCUCCCGCCUUCGGCUUUAACUUGCGGCCCGCGCAGGCGCUGGGUCUUUUCGAUUCAGCGCUGGUCUCAGGUCCCAGCGUGUCCGGACGUCGAGACGGAGCCGUUCUGCGCACGCGCGCCCCUACGACCUCUGCCGUCCCUCCCCAUUGUGUAAAAACUGCCAAUAAAGAAGGUUCCCAAGGUCUUA